UACCAGCACCCCCGAGUGGUCGGGACGUUUAUUGGGCCUAAAGCAUCCGUAGCCGGUUCUACAAGUCUUCCGUUAAAUCCACCUGCUUAACAGAUGGGCUGCGGAAGAUACUAUAGAGCUAGGAGGCGGGAGAGGCAAGCGGUACUCGAUGGGUAGGGGUAAAAUCCGUUGAUCCAUUGAAGACCACCAGUGGCGAAGGCGGCUUGCCAGAACGCGCUCGACGGUGAGGGAUGAAAGCUGGGGGAGCAAACCGG
rnacentral:rRNA from 1 species